rnacentral:tRNA from 1 species
GCGCCUAUAGUUCAACGGACAGAACGGGGGCCUUCUAAGCCUCUAAUGGGGGUCCGAUUCCUCCUAGGCGCA